UUAAAUUACUGAAAUAGAAAUAAUCUCUAGUCCUCAAGACAUGAGUGUUUAAAGGUAUAUCCAUUACAUACUUUUUCUUAGUUCCUUGUUGGUUUGUAACGAAACUAGGCAAAAGGAAAACCAUUCACAAGGGCAAGGGGAGUGUAGUAUAUGUUUUUAUUUUAAAAAAUACUCAUACACCACAUAUACCUUUUAAAUAAUUCACAACUAUGAAUUAACUCAAAUAUAUAUAUGUAUAUGUAUGUAUAUAUAUAUAAAUAUAUAUAUAUAUAUAUAUAUAUGUAUGCAUGUAUAUAUAUAUACUAAAAAGAUGAUUAGUGAAUCGCGUCAAGCACAACAAAUUUCACUAGUUAAAGAGUGUAAAUAAGUGGUAAUUGAUAAGGUUAGUAGAAUCAGUGUUUAAUAGAAGUCAAAGAGAAGGAAAAAUAUAAAAGGCAAGUUAAUUCAAAGACAAAAAAAAAAGUAGCACCCAUCACAGGGAUCAUAUGAAUGAGAUAUACAAUGCAAUCCUCGUGAGAGAAGCAUUGCAUUGUCCUCGUGUAUCAAAGUCCUAUAUAUAGUAAAGAAGUUAUUCAACAAUUUCCCAUCCUAUCCCAAUUAAAGUAAACUCUUCUUCCAACAGCCCUAACUUUAUCCAAAUCAUUAGUUCCUCUGAUGAAUUAUGUCGUCUUAGGAUUCCUGUAGUAUUUGCUAAAAGUCAUUGAAAAAACAUGUAAAGCCUCGUUUUUCUUGAGGCUCCGCAUGGAAAAUCAUGGGAGGUUGAAGUGGAAAUGUCUCAAGGCGAAUUUUCUAGCAAAAGGAUGUAAUGAUUUUUGUUCCUAUUAUUCAAUAAGCGUCAGGAGCAUAUUAAUAUUCACAUACAUCCCUUGUUCUCACUUUGAUGUCUCUAUAUAUGAUCAAAGUACAUCAAAAAUUGAAUAUCCAAUACAUCAAGAUAUUAAAGUUUAUGAAGAAGAGGAAGUUAUUCCAUUCUUCCAAUAUAAUGGUAAUGUAAUAGAGGAUGAUAUUAAAGUUUACCUACAAGCUAAUGGUAAUGUAAUUGAUCAAGGUAAGUAAACAUCAUAACUGAUUUAUUAACUAUUAUGUUGAAUACAUUAAGUAGUCAUAUAUACAUGGCAUUUGGAUAUCUAUUUCAAGAAAUGUGCAUGUAAUGACAAUAAUUUAUAUUUCCAUAAGACAUUUUAAACUUUUGGUCUUAAUUAUUCCAUACCAUUUCAUUGGGAUUUAUAUCGUUGUAGUUGUCAAACUUAUAUCAAGUUAUUGCAGAUAAGGAGGUUGGAAAAGCUAAUGAGAGAAGUGAACAAGUUAAUCAAAAUAUUUAUAAAAGUUGACACAACUUGGUGAACUUAAAUGGUGACAAUCUGCAUUUUGAAAUGGUUAGAAAAAGGCACAUGCUACUUAUAUGACUAUCCCGUUGAAAUUCGCCCAAAGUAAAGAUAUAAUAAACAUGGAGAAUAUGAGGCUGGUUAAUGAAGAAGAAACAAAAUGGAGAACAGAUAUAGGGUAUAAUCAGAGUAAGGUUAUACUAAAAGGCAGAUGGACUGCAUUCCAAAAAGAUAACAAGAUAGCUAAUGGUGAAACUUGUCGCUUCAAAUUAUUUCGGGGCCCUAUUACAAAUGUUUUAUAGGUUCAGAAGAUCCCAACACCCCUUUUUAUUGCAACAAAUUAGCUACAAUUUCUUUGGAUUUCAUGUUGGAUAUUUUAGUUUGUCUUAAGAAGAUGCUAGGGAAAUGUUAUAUAUGUUUUCUUUAGAAAAAAAAAAAGACAGACAAACUUGUACUUAAUUUGCUAGGAUAUGAAAUUUAAGAUAGGUUUUUGCAUAAAUGGUCUUGUUAUAACAAGUAUGUGUAUUCAUCAAGUGCUAAAGUGUGAACAAAUAAUUUUUUACCUAAAAUAUAAUAUAUUUUACACCAAUUUAAAAAGGGUUAUAUUUAAAAUAAAAUAAAAUAAUAAUAAUUAAUUAUAAAUU